rnacentral:rRNA from 1 species
CCUACGGGAGGCAGCAGUGGGGAAUAUUGCACAAUGGGGGAAACCCUGAUGCAGCGACGCCGCGUGAAGGAAGACGUAUUUCGGUUUGUAAACUUCUAUCAACAGGGAAGAAAGUAACGAUACCUGACUAAGAAGAACCGGCUACCUACGUGCCAGCAGCCGCGGUAAUAAGUAGGGGGAAAGCGUUAUCCGGAUUUAUUGGGUGGAAAGGGAGCGUAGGCGGCGAUGAAAGUCAGAGGUGAAAGCCCGCAGCUCAACUUCGGGAUUGAUUGUGAAACUGUAUAACUAGAGUGCAGGAGAGGAAAGUGGAAUUCCUAGUGUAGCGGUGAAAUGCGUAGAUAUUAGGAGGAACACCAGUGGCGAAGGCGGCUUACUGGACUGAAACUGACGCUGAGGCUCGAAAGCGUGGGGAGCAAACAGGAUUAGAUACCCGGGUAGUC